rnacentral:tRNA from 1 species
CAGAAAAUAGUUUAAUGUUAGAACUCUGGCUUUGGGUGUCAGGGGUGGGGGUUAGAGCCCCCUUUUUCUGG